GCCAGGGUGGUGUAGUGGUUAAGAGCAGUAGAUUCAUAAUCUGGGGAACCGGGUUCGAUUCCCUGCUCCUCCACAUGCA
rnacentral:tRNA from 1 species